AGAGUUUGAUCCUGGCUCAGAUUGAACGCUGGCGGCAUGCUUUACACAUGCAAGUCGAACGGUAACAGGCCGCAAGGUGCUGACGAGUGGCGAACGGGUGAGUAAUGCAUCGGAACGUGCCCAGUCGUGGGGGAUAACGCAGCGAAAGCUGCGCUAAUACCGCAUACGAUCUGUGGAUGAAAGCGGGGGACCGUAAGGCCUCGCGCGAUUGGAGCGGCCGAUGUCAGAUUAGGUAGUUGGUGGGGUAAAGGCUCACCAAGCCAACGAUCUGUAGCUGGUCUGAGAGGACGACCAGCCACACUGGGACUGAGACACGGC
rnacentral:rRNA from 1 species